CUUGUCACUCGCCCGUACACAAAAAGAUAUCGAGGUUUGCAAGAUUUGUCUUUGACGUGUGUCAUUUUCUAUGUAUUUGUGUCGUCAUUACAGAUUGGAUUUUGUAUGUGUGUGAGAAGUGCGACUACUUUUUUUUUUUAUACCACAUCGGUGGCAAACAAGCAUACGGCCCGCCUGAUGGUAAGCAGUCACCGUAGCCUAUGAACGCCUGCAACUCCAGAGGUGUUACAUGCGCGUUGCCGACCUUACUAUAUUUCUUAUCAUUGAGCUCU